rnacentral:rRNA from 1 species
UACGUAGGAGGCGAGCGUUGUCCGGAGUUACUGGGCGUAAAGGGUGCGUAGGCGGCGCGGUAAGUCGGGUGUGAAAUCUCGGAGCUUAACUCCGAAACUGCAUUCGAUACUGCCGUGCUUGAGGACUGGAGAGGAGACUGGAAUUUACGGUGUAGCGGUGAAAUGCGUAGAUAAUCGUAAGGAAGACCAGUGGCGAAGGACGGGUCUCUGGACAGUUCCUGACGUGAGGCACGAAGGCCAGGGGAGCAAACGGG